AUGGCUCUCACAGACGACCACGACGAGUAUGCCAAGCUCGUCCGGGGGAUGAACCCGCCGAGGGUUGUGAUCGACAACGAAGCCUCCGACGACGCAACCGUCAUCCGGGUGGACAGCGUCAACAGCCACGGCACCCUCCUCGCCGUCGUCCAGGUCAUCGCCGACCUCAACCUCGUCAUCCGCAAGGCCUACUUCUCCUCCGACGGCAGCUGGUUCAUGGACGUGUUCAAUGUCACCGACCGUGACGGGAACAAGGUUCUUGACACGCCAACCAUCUCCUACAUCCAGACGACGCUGGAAGCCGAGGAUUGCUACUACCCGGAGGCUCGCAACACGGUGGGCAUCGUGCCGUCGGAGGAGUACACGUCGAUCGAGCUCACGGGGACCGACCGCCCGGGCCUGCUCUCCGAGGUGUGCGCGGUGCUCGCCGGCAUGCAGUGCGCGGUCCGGAGCGCCGAGCUCUGGACGCACAACACGCGCGUCGCGGCCGUCGUGCAGGUCACGGACGCGGCCAAAGCCGCGGGCGGCGCCAUCGAGGACGAGGCCCGCAUCGCCGACAUCAGCCGGCGCCUCGACAACCUGCUGCGCGGGCAGAACGGCGUGCGAGCGGCGGCCGCGGCGAGCCUGACGCACAAGGAGCGCCGCCUGCACCAGAUGAUGUUCGAGGACCGGGACUACGGCGCCGCCGGACGGCCGGACCCGCGGACGGAGGUCUCCGUGACGCACUGCGCCGAGCGCGGGUACACCGUGGUGGUGGUCCGGUGCAGGGACCGGCCCAAGCUGCUGUUCGACACCGUCUGCACCAUCACGGACAUGCAGUACGUGGUCCACCACGGCACCGUAAGCUCCGAGCCGGGCGGCGGCGCCUACCAGGAGUACUACAUCAGGCACGUGGACGGCCACCCGGUGAGCUCCGAGGCCGAGCGCCGGCGCGUCGUCCAGUGCCUCGAGGCGGCCGUGGAGCGCCGCACCGCCGACGGGCUGGAGCUGGAGGUCCGCACCGACGACCGCGCCGGCCUGCUCUCCGACGUCACCCGAAUCUUCCGGGAGAACGGGCUGACGAUACGGCGCGCCGAGAUAUCGUCCGAGGACGGGGAGGCCGUGGACACCUUCUACCUGUCGGACCCGCAGGGUCACCCAGUGGAAGCCAAGACGAUCGAGGCCAUCCGCGCGCAGAUCGGCGAGGCCGCGCUGCGGGUAAAGAACAACCCGCUGGCCGACGACGGCGGUUCCAGCUCCGGGGUCGCCGCCGGUUCGACGGCGUUCCUCUUCGGGAACCUCUUCAAGUUCUACCGUCCGUUCCAGAACUUCGGCCUCAUCAAGCUCUACUAG
rnacentral:rRNA from 1 species